rnacentral:tRNA from 1 species
AUUUAAAUAGCUUAAAUUGUAAAGUGUAACAUUGAAGAUGUUAAGAUGAUAAAUUUAUCUUUAAAUA